rnacentral:lncRNA from 1 species
AUUUUCAAAUCUCAAAAUCAACGGCCGCUGUUGUAUUUAUAACUCGGUACGGACUCCUUUGUAUCGUCAUUGUCCGUUGCUGCACUUGCGCAUUGUACAGAAAGUCGGUUCCCUAUACUCUCGGUUACACCGAAUCACCGCUCACUUCUCUCAACGAACUUAAGCUACAGGGACGACAUCCGCUUCAUAUCCUUGCAUGACAUUUAAAAUUAAAUUUGGUAUGACAUUUAAAAUUAAAUUUGGUUAAACAUUUUUAACUUGGGAUCCCAAAACAUGAAUUUGGAUUUGAUUCGAAUGCGGUUAGUUAGUAUCAGUUAGGAGUACUAUAGAGCUACGCCAACAGAGAGAGAACGAGAAAUGGACGUGG